rnacentral:sRNA from 1 species
AUGUAUUACUUUUAUAAUUAAGAUGUUAAAGUCCUGUGAGGUCAUUUCAGAAAAUAAUCAUUACUGUGAUGAUUUUUCAGUCUUUCCAGUGUCAGCCUGCCUUUAGCUAAGAUAAUUCCAAUAGUAAACGGACAGAUCCAUUCAGUUUGCAGUGAAACACCUAGUCAUUUUGUUCAGGAUCUGUUGACAAUGGAGCAAGUGAAAGACUUUGCUGCUAAUGUGUAUGAAGCUUUUAGUACCCCUCAGCAACUGGAGAAAUGAUUUUUCCUUCAAGAAAAACUACAGUGGGAUUCAUUUACUUUUUAAAAUACACUGGGUAAAUCACCUAUACUUAGAGUAACAGUUUGUUAUCAAAAUGCCUGAUAAAAUAUAUUCUUAAUAAAAGUCUUCAUUUCAUAAUGAAAUCAA